UCUGGGCUCAUGGUUAAGAUACACUGAUUUAGUGUGGAGAAAAUUAAGGUGUCUAUUGUCAAAGAAUACUUUGACAAUAUAAAUUGCUCAUUACUAGGGCAGCUGCCGACUUUGUUGUGGUACUGUUACUGGGGUGCUACAGUUAGAGGAUGACAACAGAAACACGCAACAAGUUAAAGGAUGAUAGUAGAAAACACACAAUGAGUUGUCAGGGGCACUGAGCAAAUCACAGAGAUGAAAGAAGCAUUCAAGUAAUCUGCUAUUUUUUUAAUAAACACGUGCAUGUAUGUGAAACGAAGGAAGAGAAAAGACCAAAUUGAUCACAAACUAUUCACAGGGAUAGACGAGCUCUAUUCGGAAGCUUCAGGGAGUAAGCACUAUCCAAUAGAGCCUGGGAAACCUCCUGUGUAGUCAUCUUCAGUGAUGGAGAGAUCAACACCCCCCUGCUCGUUAUGGGCCUGCUUUACAAGAAUAUGCCCUUUUUACAAGGACGCUAAUUCUUAGCAGCGUGAAUGAGUUCUUUUCAGGUGUAUUGGAAAGACAGUUGAUCUUCUUCCUGUGUUUGUUCUUCCAAGAAGGAAAAGGACUGCCUGCCUGGUAACAUAUAAUGACUCAUCAAGUUAUGAAGACAACAGAACAAAAAGCUGCCAAGGAAUGUGCGACAUUUAUUCUGUUUCACCCAAAUGCAUAAACAACAUAGCCUAGCCUUAUCUGAGAGAUACAGAGCACUUAUUUUGUUUAACUAAAACAAUCACAUUCAUAAUAAAGAACCACUUAUAUUUUUGAUUAAGUAAAUA